AGGUUUUAAAUAGCUUUAUAUCUACAAGAUAAGAACAGAAUAUACAUCACUGACUGGAGAGGAGACCUCUUGUGUACCAAAUCAAACCCAUGGAUUGGAGGAUUCCCCUCGCUUUGUGCAAUGGGGAGACAGACUGUCCUGCAAAACCAAGGCUAUCUUGAGUGCAUCAGACUGGACCUGUGUCUGUGGAACAUGCUGCAAACUCUGUCACCUAUCUGUGCUGGGAGGAGGAAAAGAGCCAUUCAGCAUUAAAGAUUUAGGAAUGUCUGUUGACAUAUUAAGGAAACAACCUCAGGGGACAGCUGACAAGGCUCCAAGAAGCAUUACCAAGGGAACAGUGACGCAAAUGCAUUCCAUUUUUACAGGCUGGCCUGCUGCCAGAGUCUCUCGCCUGAUGUCUGAUGUAAUGCUGAGCCCUAUCUGGGUUAGUGCUUAGCUAUCAACCACAGCCGCUCUCUCUGCUGCAAUCAAUAUUCUGUAGUGUUCUUUUUCACAAGAAAGGCAAAAGGGAGGGGAGAGAAAAAGCCAUGCCUGAAACACCCUACACUUCCUGUAAAAUGUAGUCAGUAAAAGGUCUUGCGCUCCAAGAGAAAUCAU